rnacentral:rRNA from 1 species
GUGUCAGCCGCCGCGGUAAUACGGAGGGUGCGAGCGUUAAUCGGAAUUACUGGGCGUAAAGCGUACGCAGGCGGUUUGUUAAGCGAGAUGUGAAAGCCCCGGGCUCAACCUGGGAACUGCAUUUCGAACUGGCAAACUAGAGUGUGAUAGAGGGUGGUAGAAUUUCAGGUGUAGCGGUGAAAUGCGUAGAGAUCUGAAGGAAUACCGAUGGCGAAGGCAGCCACCUGGGUCAACACUGACGCUCAUGUACGAAAGCGUGGGGAGCAAACAGGAUUAGAUACCCUGGUAGUCCACGCCGUAAACGAUGUCUACUAGAAGCUCGGAACCUCGGUUCUGUUUUUCAAAGCUAACGCAUUAAGUAGACCGCCUGGGGAGUACGGCCGCAAGGUUAAAACUUAAAUGAAUUGACGGGG